rnacentral:rRNA from 1 species
AUUGAACGCUGGCGGCAUGCUUUACACAUGCAAGUCGAACGGUAACAGGCCGCGAGGUGCUGACGAGUGGCGGACGGGUGAGUAAUGCAUCGGAACGUGCCCAGUCGUGGGGGUUAACUACUCGAAAGAGUAGCUAAUACCCCCUACUACCUCUGGAUGAAAACGGGGGACCGCAAGGCAUCGCCCGAUUGUGCGCGCCGAUGUCAGAUUAGGUAGUUGGUGGGGUAAAGGCUCACCAAGCCAACGAUCUGUAGCUGGUCUGAGAGGACGACCAGCCACACUGGAACUGAGACACGGCCCAGACUCCUACGGGAGGCAGCAGUGGGGAAUUUUGGACAAUGGGCGCAAGCCUGAUCCAGCAAUGCCGCGUGCAGGAAGAAGGCCUUCGGGUUGUAAACUGCUUUUGUUCGGAACGAAACGGCUCUGGUUAAUACCCGGGGCUAAUGACGGUACCGUAAGAAUAAGCACCGGCUAACUACGUG